rnacentral:rRNA from 1 species
UACGUAGGGUGCAAGCGUUAAUCGGAAUUACUGGGCGUAAAGCGUGCGCAGGCGGUUCGUUGUGUCGGCGGUGAAAGCCCCGGGCUUAACCUGGGAAUGGCCGUUGAAACUGGCGAACUGGAGUGUGGCAGAGGGGGGUGGAAUUCCGCGUGUAGCAGUGAAAUGCGUAGAGAUCGGGAGGAACAUCUGUGGCGAAGGCGGCCACCUGGACCAACACUGACACUGAGGCACGAAAGCGUGGGGAGCAAACAGG